GGGUUUGAAUAGUGCCCAGGAUAGAUCACUAGAUUACUCAAACAUGCAGAAAUGUUCAUCUUUAUGUUAAUAUUGCAUUCAGACUAAACAGUUUAUUACCUUUGGUCGUGGUGGUGGUGGGAGUCGUGGUGGUGGUGGUGGUGGGAGUGGUGGUUUUGGUGGGAGGUGUGGUGGUGGUGGGAGUCGUGGUGGUGGUGGUGGUGGUGGUUUUGGUGGGAGUGGUGGUUUUGGUGGGAGGUGUGGUGGUGGUGGGAGUGGUGGUGGUGGUGGUGGGAGUCGUGGUAGUGGUGGUGGGAGUCGUGGUGGUGGUGGGAGUGGUGGAGGGAGUGGUGGUUUUGGUGGGAGGUGUGGUGGUGGUGGUGGUGGUGGGAGUGAUGGUGGUGGUGGGAGUGGUGGUCGUGGUGGUGGGAGUCGUGGUGGUGGUGGUGGGAGUGGUGGUAGUGGUGGUGGUGAUGGGAGUGGUGGUGGUGGUGGUGGUGGUGGUGGUGGGAGUGGUGGUGGGCGUCGUGGUGGUGGUGGUGGUGGUGGUGGUGGUA
ensembl:lncRNA